rnacentral:tRNA from 1 species
AGUGUUGUAGCUCAGUGGUUGAGUACUUGCCUCGCAUGCAUGAAGCACUGGGUUCCAUUCUUAGACCACAUUA